UACGUAGGCAGCGAGCGUUGUUCGGAAUUACUGGGCGUAAAGAGUGUGUAGGCGGUGCUCUAAGUUCGGUGUGAAAUCUCCCGCUUAACUGGGAGGGUGCGCCGGAAACUGGAGUGCUCGAGCGUGGGAGAGGAAAGCGGAAUUCCUGGUGUAGCGGUGAAAUGCGUAGAUAUCAGGAGGAACACCUGCGGUGUAGACGGCUUUCUGGACCAUUGCUACGCUGAGACACGAAAGCGUGGGUAGCAAACAGG
rnacentral:rRNA from 1 species